rnacentral:rRNA from 1 species
UUGCAGUUAAAAAGCUCGUAGUUGGAUUUCGGAGUGAGCUAGUUGGUCCGCCGCAAGGUGUGUUACUGACUAGUUUGCUCUUCUUCGCAAAGACUGCGUGUGCUCUUGAGUGAGUGUGCGUAGGAUUUACGACGUUUACUUUGAAAAAAUUAGAGUGUUCAAAGCAGGCUAUUGCUUGAAUACAUGAGCAUGGAAUAAUGGAAUAGGACUUUGGUCCCUUUUGUUGGUUUCUAGGACCGAAGUAAUGAUUAAGAGGGACAAUUGGGGGCAUCCGUAUUUCGUUGUCAGAGGUGAAAUUCUUAGAUUUACGAAAGACGAACAACUGCGAAAGCACUUGCCAAGAGUGUUUUCAUUAAUCAAGAACGAAAGUUAGAGGAUCGAAGACGAUCAGAUACCGUCCUAGUUCUAACCAUAAAC